CCUACGGGGGACAGCAGUGAGGAAUAUUGGUCAAUGGACGAGAGUCUGAACCAGCCAAGUAGCGUGAAGGAUGAAUGCCCUAUGGGUUGUAAACUUCUUUUAUAGGGGAAUAAAAUGUGCCACGUGGGGGAUUUUGUAUGUACCAUAUGAAUAAGGAUAGGCUAACGCCGUGCCAGCAGCGGCGGUAAUACGGAGGAUCCGAGCGUUAUCCGGAUUUAUUGGGUUUAAAGGGAGCGUAGGUGGCUUGUGAAGUCAGUUGUGAAAGUUUGCGGCUCACCCGUAAAAUUGCAGUUGAAACUGGCAGUCUUGCUUCCAGUAGAGGUGGGCGGAAUUCGUGGUGUCGCGG
rnacentral:rRNA from 1 species